rnacentral:rRNA from 1 species
UACGUAGGGUGCGAGCGUUAAUCGGAAUACUGGGCGUAAGGCGUGCGCAGGCGGUGAUGUAAGACCGAUGUGAAAUCCCCGGGCUUAACCUGGGAACUGCAUUGGUGACUGCAUUGCUGGAGUAUGGCAGAGGGGGGGUGGAAUUCCACGUGUAGCAGUGAAAUGCGUAGAGAUGUGGAGGAACACCGAUGGCGAAGGCAGCCCCCUGGGCCAAUACUGACGCUCAUGCACGAAAGCGUGGGGAGCAAACAGG